GAUGAACGCUGGCGGCGUGCCUAUUACAUGCAAGUCGAGCGAACAGACGAGGAGCUUGCUCCUCUGACGUUAGCGGCGGACGGGUGAGUAACACGUGGAUAACCUACCUAUAAGACUGGGAUAACUUCGGGAAACCGGAGCUAAUACCGGAUAAUAUAUUGAACCGCAUGGUUCAAUAGUGAAAGACGGUUUUGCUGUCACUUAUAGAUGGAUCCGCGCCGCAUUAGCUAGUUGGUAAGGUAAUGGCUUACCAAGGCAACGAUGCGUAGCCGACCUGAGAGGGUGAUCGGCCACACUGGAACUGAGACACGGUCCAGACUCCUACGGGAGGCAGCAGUAGGGAAUCUUCCGCAAUGGGCGAAAGCCUGACGGAGCAACGCCGCGUGAGUGAUGAAGGUCUUCGGAUCGUAAAACUCUGUUAUUAGGGAAGAACAAAUGUGUAAGUAACUAUGCACGUCUUGACGGUACCUAAUCAGAAAGCCACGGCUAACUACGUG
rnacentral:rRNA from 1 species